AUUCCAGCUCCAAUAGCGUAUAUUUAAGUUGUUGCAGUUAAAAAGCUCGUAGUUGGAUUUCGGGUGGGGACGACCGGUCCGCCCGUAUGGGUGUGCACUGGUCGGCCCUAUCUUCUUGCCGGGGACGUGCUUCUGGCCUUAAUUGGCUGGGACACGGAGUCGGCGCAGUUACUUUGAAAAAAUUAGAGUGUUCAAAGCAGGCCUAAGCUCUGAAUACAUUAGCAUGGAAUAACGCGAUAGGACCUCCGUCCCAUUGUGUUGGUCUUCGGGAUGGCGGUAAUGAUUAAUAGGGACAGUUGGGGGCAUUCGUAUUUCAUUGUCAGAGGUGAAAUUCUUGGAUUUAUGAAAGACGAACUUCUGCGAAAGCAUUUGCCAAGGAUGUUUUCAUUA
rnacentral:rRNA from 1 species